rnacentral:rRNA from 1 species
GAUGAACGCUGGCGGCGUGCCUAAUACAUGCAAGUCGAGCGAACAGACGAGGAGCUUGCUCCUCUGACGUUAGCGGCGGACGGGUGAGUAACACGUGGAUAACCUACCUAUAAUACUGGGAUAACUUCGGGAAACCGGAGCUAAUACCAGAUAAUAUAUUGAACCGCAUGGUUCAAUAGUGAAAGACGGUUUUGCUGUCACUUAUAGAUGGAUCCGCGCCGCAUUAGCUAGUUGGUAAAGUAACGGCUUACCAAGGCAACGAGACGUAGCUGACCUGAGAGGAUGAUCGGCCACACUGGAACAGAGACACGGUCGAGACGCCGACGGGAGGGAGCAGGGGGGAAUAGUGGACAAUGGGCGCAAGCCUGAUACAGCCAGAACGCGUGGAGGAAGAAGGCCUUCGGGUUGUAAAGCCCUUUGGUGGUGAAAGAAAAGCAGCAGGUGAAUACCCCGCUGUUCUGACGGGACCAAAAGAAGAAGCACCGGCUAACUUCGUG